ACUUAGCAACCACAAGAUCAACUCUUUCAAGGCCAUGAGGAGAGAAGAGGUUUCUCUUCUGAUUCAAUCUGUUCAAGAGGACGCCAAUGAUCGACGGGUUCCUAUCAAUCUCAGUGACAAGAUCGCAUCGCUCAGCGUUGACCUGACCUGUCGGCUGGUGUUUGGGAAGAAGUACAAGGACGAGGACUUUGACGAGAGGGGUUUCACGGCGGUGUUGAAAGAGUCUAUCCAAAUAGUAGCAGCACCUAACUUGAAUGAUCACAUUCCUUUUCUUAGGCCGUUUGACCUGCAAGGGCUCACCAAAAAAAUGAAGUCUAUCAACAAGAAGUUUAAUACUUUUUUUGAGAAGAUAAUCGACGACCAUCUUCAAUCCAAGGAUGAAGAAAGAACAAAGGACUUCGUUGAUGUCGUGCUGGGCCGCAUGGGGUCUGAAGAAUCAGACUACCGAAUCGAACGCGUGCAUGUCAAAGCCGUUAUGCUGGUAAGUAUACAUAUCAUUUUGCAUAUUUUUCUUUUCAUUCUUGCUUGACAUCAAAUUAAAAAGAACUUGUUUCUUGUUAUACGAUUUAACAUGAUGUGGUCUAAGAUUGUGAUUAUGAACUAUUAGGUUGACUUUCUUUGAAUAUAUUAAAUUGACUGUUGAUGGUUUAAAUUUGUAAUUCAUCAUGUACAUGAAAUUGUCAUCUAUGUACAUGUGUCGCACUACUAUAUAUAUACUUCAUCUUCAUCUAACAAUGAAAAAUUUAUUGGCAGGACAUGUUCGCGGCCGCAUUGGACACACCACCAUCAGCAAUCCUGUGGGCGCUCUCAGAACUCCUUAGGCACCCACAAGUUAUGAAGAAACUCCAAAAGGAGCUAGAAAAUGUUGUAGGUCUCAAUAGAAUGGUGGAGGAAUCAGACUUGGAGAAAUUGGAGUACUUGGACAUUGUAGUGAAGGAAACCUUGAGACUACAUCCUGUGUUACCAUUGUUGCUCCCUCAUUUAUCCAUUGAAGAUUGCACUGUCGAUGGGUACCACAUACCGAAAAAUUCGCGCCUUAUCGUAAACGCAUGGGCAAUUGGGAGAGACCCAAGUGCUUGGGAAGAUGCAGAGAAGUUUGUACCAGAAAGGUUUGAGGGCAGCAAUAUUGAUGUUAAAGGAAAACACUUUCAGCUUAUACCGUUUGGCUCUGGCAGAAGACGUUGCGCUGGAAUGCAGUUAGGGCUUACUGUGGUACAGUUUGUGUUGGCACAGAUUGUGCAUUGUUUUGAUUGGGAACUUCCAGACAACAUGUUGCCAAAUGAGUUGGAUAUGACUGAGGUGUUUGGUCUUGCAGUUUCUAGGACCAAGGAUUUGCUCCUUAUUCCUUCAUAUCGCCUUCAGAAUUGAUCAUGUUUUAUGUGUCUGUAGUGCCUAUAUAUUUUCCUACUUGUCAUAAGUAUAUGUCGUGGACUAGCUAUCUUUUCUGUGUUUCCCUCCUUUUUUUUUUAAAAUAGGGACAACUAGUGGCAAACCACAGUUAUCUACGCUUUUCGGAGGCAUCUUUUCUGUGUUUCUACUGUCUUACAUUUGUGUUCUUCACUUGAUGAGGAGAACAAGCAAUGUAAUUAAUUAAAUAAAGUGGUGUCUGAUAAGGAUUUUACUACACAUGUGAAAGGGCUAAAAAACUCCUAUAAUACUUGCAAGAAUGAUAAGGUUAUUGUAAUAUAAACGGAUCUUGCAAUGUCGUUCUCCACAUGAAUUAUUAAAUAAUUCGAAACAAACCAAAUUCUAAUUAAUUAUUGUAGAGUAGAAAUUGAGAUGAUUGAUCUUAUAACUUAUUUAAAUUAAACACGAAUUUAAUUAAUAAAAGUAAACUAAUCUGCAAUAUUAAAACUAGAAGGAAAAGAAAACAGUUUAUGGAGAAAUCAAAUUAAGAAAACACUAGGUUCCACCAUCACCUAGCAAUCCUAUGAACUUUUACCAAUUACUUAUGAUCUACACAUGUGAUGAGUAGAUUUUAUAUUAUAUAUUUUACCCUAAUCUUACUAUAUUUUGGAAAAAAUUUUAUACUUUGAAUUGUAUUUUCAAUAUAGGACUUUCGAAUUCCUCUGGAGCAAAACAGGACCAAAUGAACGAAUUUUGGAGUAAUUCCAGUUGGAGGACGUUCGUGAGUCAAUUAGCUUGAUCGUAACAAAAUUUAGAAUUUUUCCACUAAGCGGUUAUUUCUGGCGAUAAAAUAAAUGAGCGAUGCGCGGUGCUGGAAAAUGACGUUUCUGGGCUUAAAUUGCGUUUUUGGAGCCCAAGAUGACCUUGGAUGGGUUCGUGGCCUUCUGGAGAAGUGUUCAGAAUAUUCCAAACAUUAAAUCCAGCCAUAUUGGGCCAGUUUUGGAGCAGCUUAUGGGUCCAAAACAUGGCUGUUCAGAUUUUAGGCGAAUUUUACCAUUUAAUUUAGGGUUAUGUUUCCUAUUUUAUUUGAUUAUUAUUUUUAGUUUCCUAGUGGGAAUAAAGGACCUGUUUUUAGGGUUUGUGUGGGGGCUUAGCAGAUAUUUGCUUGGCCAUCUACAGUUUUACGUACACUUUUCUUUUAUGCAACUUUAGAGACAAAGAGAAUUGCUAGGGUUCUUGGAGAUUUUCUACUCUAAAGUGUUUUCAAUCCUUUUCUUAGUAAUAUUUUCUAUGAUUGCAAUUAUGAAUAUGCAUAACUAAUUCCUUUUGCUAGGGCGAAUCCUUGAGCCUUAGCAUGAAUAUGUGAUUUUUAUUUAAUUGCUUAUGAUUGAUUGCAUGCAUACUUUGAAUUAUUAAUCACUGGGAUUAAAACUAUUUAAUUGUGUUAAUGCUUGAUCACCAUUAGGAUCUUUAGAAAAGUAAUUUGAUGCAAAUUUGGUCAGAAUGUUCCCUGAAAUUGACGCUGGCUUCUUGUGAUUAAUAAUUGUAAUUUCACUUAGGAUGAACACCACAUCUUAAGGAUUGCAUGGUUUUUCAAAAGGUUUUCAUAAAGCAUAAUGAGUCUUUCAUGUUCAGAUUUGAUUCGAACGUCCGGACGGGUUGCAUGUUAGAUAUAUGUUCAAUGUUGGAGGUUCCAAGUAGAAUAUAAAUUAGGAAAACCUAACCUUCAAAGUGGCAUGUGUAGAUCAUAAGUAAUUGGUAAAAGUUCAUAGGAUUGCUAGGUGAUGGUGGAACCAUAGUAUUUUCUUAAUUUGAUUUCUCCCAAAAUUGUUUUCUCUUCCUUCUAGUUUUCAAUAUUGCAGAUUGUCUUAUCUUUAAUAGUUAAAUUCGUUUUUAAUUUAAGUAGGUUAUAAAAUCAAUCAUCUCAAUUUUUACUUUACAAUAAUUAAUUGAAAUUUGGUUUGCUUUGAAUUAUUUAAUAAUCCAUGUGGAGAACGACCUUACGAGAUUUGUUUAUACUACAACAACCUUGUCAUUCUUACAAGUAUAAUAGGAGUUUUUAGCCCGUUCACAUGUGUAAUAAAAUCCCUAUCAAGAAAAUGGCGCCGUUGCCGGGGAUUGUUUUAAAUAGUUUGUGUCUAUCAACUCUUAAUUAAUUAUUAUUGUAUAUAUCUUUUUAUUUAAUUGCUGAUUUUGUUUUUGUAGGUUACAAUUUGUUUCUUUUUAGCAGUGCAACAAUGAAAUUUGCAGUUUCCCCUGAAUUCAAUCUAACACCCGAGGGACCACCUCUUUGGGUUUCAUUAGCAAAAACGGGUUAUUAUGGAUUUAAGCCUACGAUUUGUGCUCUUUGUAAUUCAAAUACUCAUGAUAUUUUGCAAUGUCCUAAGAGAGAAUAUUUUCCAGAUUAUGUCCAGGAGUAUAUAAAUAUGAGAAACGAUUCAAAACUGGAACAAUCCCCAUUCAGAGUUCUACACUCAAAGUUUGAAAGAGCAUAUUGGGCAGUAUUUUGAGUGGCUUAAUGUGCCACAAGAACUUUCGGUGGAGGACAAACUAUCUAAAUUGUUGGAAUCAACUGAAUUGUACAUAGAAAUAAUCAAUCAAGGAUUUCAAAUUUAAGCAGUAAAUUGUGGGAGAAGCUAUGAUGAUCAAGAGGUUGGUGUAGGAACCGAGGAGCCAUCUGCCUGUUAUUCACACCCAAAGGAGGAAACAGCCCCUGAUGACCUUGAAACUUACAUAGAAUCUGCUCCUACAAAAGUCUGUGUGCCACUCAUGCACUCUCCCGAGACUCCAAGGCAACCCGCUAAGCAGCAAGAAUGCAUGAAUACUCUGACAAAUCUAAUUACAGGACAGCUGCUUACUAAUCAGAAAAUUUUAGUGGCGGUAACGGACAGUGCACCUGCAUAGCCCUUCAAAUUCAAAGAAAUGCCAGAUGAGUCCUGCAAACAGGCAAAGAUCUAUAUGGAAAAGAGGAAGCUUAUUGACAGCCAAGUUCCUCGUAGAAAAUUUUAGCCAGUGCGGAAACUAUGGGUGUUAGAUACACGAUUUAAGUCAGCUCGAUGGAGAAAUAAACAUAGCUGGAAAGGAACCUAUUUCUUUCCAAAGAUUCAUUCAAAAAGAAAGGCGUAUAAGAAGAAUUCAACCAUUAAAUUUGGAAGCACAGUGCUCUAUGACAUUAUUAAAGAGUGGUUAACUUUGAAAGAACAAGUGAGGUGAUCAACAAUUCUUUCUGCUACGUCUAGCUAUAGACUUUAACUAAAGCGCUUUUUGGAAGGCAACCCAAUUUUUCUAACUCUUUUCUUUUUAUUUCGUUUAAUUUAUUUUCCUGUUUUUAUUCCUAAUUACAAAAAUCAAAAAGAAAAAAAAUAUUGCAAUUUUUAAUUCUUGUUAUUUUUCUUUACUUAUCUAAUUAGUUUUUUUAUUGCAAGUUGCAUUCGGAACUGAUUCGGCCUAAUCCCAACUAAGGGGGUGCAAUCAACAUUUAUUCCCCCAGCACAUUCAUCAUCAAUUCCUCUACAUUCAUGAGAUUAGGCAGUGUGGAGUGCAGAAACAAAGUUGAGGGAUCUAAGUAGCACAGAGGACACGAUUCAUCAAGGCAGAAUACAGUUUCUGUUAUCCACACUUUUGGGCUCAAAUAUACAUUAGUGGGUACAGGCAAGCACACAGAUAGAGAUUUAUGAGCAUGUGGAGAACAUUAUCAUGCAUGAUGCGCAAAUAAGAGUUAGGCAUCUAUGUUCUAUACCUUUCCUUUUCAGAUAAGCUCCAGACAUCUACCGUUCUUUUCUAUGUCAAAUCAGCAUUCUGCAAAUCCUGCCGCAGAAGCACACAUGCAUUAGAUAAUUUUCAUCCAUUUUUUCCCCAAAUCUAAGCAUAUAAAAAAAAUAAAAAAAAUUGAAGGGAGAUGUGGAUAAAAAUUACCCAUGAAUGUGUCGGAAUCAGAGAGGGAUGUGAUCUGCGAUGUCAUCUUUGCGGCUGUUGAUAUUACUGUUUGAGGACGCUCGAUUUUUGAGGUUCGAAGGCAGCAAGAUGAUGAAGGAGGACAUCGUAAAAGAGUGGUAGAUGCGCUUAGAUGGUCCUGGUUCAAAGAUGAAGUUUGGGCGUAUAGUGCGGCUCUGGGGUAUACGUUUGGUUUUUAAGAUAGAAAUGGUUGUGGGCUCGAGGAUGAGAAAAGAAGAAUCUAGAGAAAGAAGCUUUCUGAAGCAGCUAGAGGGAGAAAUAAGAAAUGGGAAGACGGCGCCAGGGUAAUUCUAUAUAUAGAUAAAUGAGCAUCGAGUAAGCUUAAACAAGCUGGCUAAGACGUUUUAGAAUGAGCCACAUCGUGGCCCACAUUUGCUCCGAGUCUAGCCGUGCAACAACUUCAUUUUCAAGCCCAGGUAAUAUCUUUCUUUUCUUUGGUUUUGUUAAUCAUUUUCACUUUUAUAAUUAUUAUAUUUUAGUUUAAGUUUAUUUCAUUUUUGUCAUGUUUCUUUUAUUUCCACACCUUGAGGACAAAGUGUAAAAUAAGUUUGGGGGUCGGAAAGUACAAUUUUAGGCUUUUAUUUUUUAUGUCAGUUAAGAAUUUUCAUUCUUUUUAAGUUAAUAUUCAUAGAUUAUUUUAAACGUUAGAAAAAAUGGACGUGGUGAAGAUUAAUCUUACAGUAUAGUCUUUUCUAUUUAUCGUUGCUUAGACACUAAUUCAUGAAUUAUACAUUGAACUUUGCACAUCACAUCAACAUGGUUUGUGGGAAGCGAGAUUGAAACACUUGCUUUUAGUCUAAGUUUAUUUUUUAUUUUUGUUUUGAGUAAAGUCAGUUAUUAUUGUGAAUAAAGUAAUAAUUGUCUCACCCGAGGUUUUGCCUAGUAACUGGGCCAGUCCUGCCUAAUCAGCAGUGAUUCUUACGUCAAAUGGUAGAGUUUUGGCAUGGGGCAGGGUGGUUAGUUAGUUUCAUAGCCUUUUCAGCUCAGGUUAAUAAGUCCUUAAGGGUGUUCUACACCUAGUGCCCUAAAGCCCUAGUGGUUUGGGAGUCAUUGACCUAAAGCUCGCUACAUGGGUUGGAUCGAAAGCUUAAGUGAACUGACAUUGCACGACCACUACUAUUACUGAAGAAAAAAAUUAAAAAGAAAAAGAAAAAAAGCUAUAUUCAAAGUUAGUAUGUGUGAAAUAAAGAAGGACGAGAGGUCAGAGUUUUAGUCGAGUCUCCCUAACUAUGUUGGUUCACUUUACACCAAAGGAAAUUCAUGAAUUCUUUUCUAAUUGAUUCUAAAUGGCUUAGACUCUGUGGUGGGAUUGGUUGGAACUUUUGAAAAGAUGUUCUAGUUUUUAAAAUUUGCUAUGGAUUGCAACUUGAAGGUGGAAGUUUUGUCUUGGUUGAGUUUUAGCUAGUUGUCUAGUUUGGGGGUAUUUUGAUGAGUAGAUUUUAUAUUAUAUAUUUUACCCUAAUCUUAGUAUAUAUUGGUUAAUAUUUUGGAAGAAUUUUGAUACUUUGAAUUGUAUUUUCAAUAUAGGACUUCCUCUGGAGCAAAACAGGGACAAAUGGAUGAAUUUUUUAGUAAUUCUAGUUAGAGGAUGUUCGCCAGUCAAUUAGCUUGAUCGUAUCAAAAUUUGGGAUUUUUCCACCAAGCGGUUAUUUUCUAGCGAUAAAAUAAAGGAGCGGUGCGCGGUGUUGGAAAAUGACGUUUCUAGGCUUAAAUUAUAUUUUUGGAGCCCAAGUUGACCUGGGAUGGGAUCGUAGCCUUCUGGAGAAGUGUUCAAAAUAUUCCAAACAUUAAAUCCAGCCAUAUUGGGCCAGUUUUGGAGCAGCUUAUGGAUCCAAAACGUGGCUAUUCAGAUUUUAGGUGAAUUUUACCAUUUAAUUUAGGCUUAUGUUUCCUAUUUUAUUUGAUUAUUAUUUUUAGUUUUCUAGUGGGAAUAAAGGACCUGUUUUUAAGGUUUGUGUGGGGGGCUAAGCAGAUAUAUUGCUUGGCCGUCUACAGUUUUACAUACACUUUUCCUUUAUGCAACUUUGGAGACAGAGAGAAUUUGUUAGGGUUCUUGGAGAUUUUCUACUUGAAGGUGUUUUCAAUCAUUUUCUUAGUAAUAUUUUCUAUGAUUUCAAUUAUGAAUAUGCGUAACUAAUUCCUUUUGCUAGGGCGAAGCCUUGAGCCUUAGCAUGAAUAUGUGAUUUUUAUUUAAUUGCUUAUGAUUGAUUGCAUGUAUACUUUGAAUCAUUAAUCAUCAGGAUUAAAAUUAUUUAAUUGUCUUAAUACUUGAUCACCAUUAGGAUCUUUAGAAAAGUAAUUUGAUGCAAUUUUGGUCGGAAGGUUCCCUGAAAUUGACGCUGGCUUCUUGUGAUUAAUAAUUGUAAUUUCACAUAGGAUGAACAUUACGUCUUAAGGAUUGCAUGGUUUUUCAAAAGGUUUUCAUAAUGCAUAAUGAGUCUUUCAUGUUCAGAUUUGAUCCGAACGUCCGGACGGGUUGCAAGUUAGAUAUACGUUCUAUGUUGGAGGUUCCAAAUAGAAUAUAAAUUAGGAAAACCUAACCUUCAAAGUGGCAUGUGUAGAUCAAAAGUAAUUGGUAAAAGUUCAUAGGAUUGCUAGGUGAUGGUGGAACCCUAGUGUUUUCUUAAUUUGAUUUCUCCAAAAACUGUUUUCCUUUCCUUCUAGUUUUCAAUAUUGCAGAUUCUCUUAUCUUUAAUAUUUAAAUUCGUUUUUAACUUAAGUAGGUUAUAAAAUCAAUCAUCUCAAUUUCUACUUUACAAUAAUUAAUUGGAAUUUGGUUUGCUUUGAAUUAUUUAAUAAUCCAUGUGGAGAACGACCUUGCGAGAUUCGUUUAUACUACAACAACCUUGUGAUUCCUGCAAGUAUAAUAGGAGUUUUUAGCCCGUUUACAUGUGUAAUAAAAUCCCUAUCAACAUGCCACUUUGAAGGUUAGAUUUUCCUAAUUCAUAUUCUACUUGAAACCUCCAACAUAGAACGUAUAUCUAACAUGCAACCCGUCCGGACAUUCGAAUCAAAUCUAAACAUGAAAGACUCAUUAUGUUUUAUGAAAACCCUUUGAAAAAUCAUGCAAUCCUUAAGACGUGGUGUUCAUCUUAAGUGAAAUUACAAUUAUUAAUAACAAGAAGCCAGUGUCAAUUUCAGGGAACCUUCCGACCAAAAUUGCAUCAAAUUACUUUUCCAAAGAUCCUAAUGGUGAUCAGGCAUUAAGACAUUUAGAUAGUUUUAAUCACGGUAAUUAAUAAUUCAAAGUAUACAUGCAAUCAAUCAUAAGCAAUUAAAUAAAAAUCACAUAUUCAUGCUAAGGCUCAAGGCUUUGCCCUAGUAAAAAAAAAUUAGUUAAGCAUAUUCAUAAUUAAAAUCAUAAAAAAAAAUUAUUAAGAAAAUGAUUGAAAGCACCUUCAAGUAGAAAAUCCCCAAGAACCCUAGCAAUUCUCUCUAUUUCCAAAGUUGCAUAAAAGAAAGCGUAGCCCAAAAAACAAAGAACUGCAGAGCAAUAUAUUUGCUAAGCCAUCCACAAACCCUAAAACAUAGGUCCCUUAUUCCAAUUAGGAAACUAAGAAAAAUAAUAAAAUAUCUUAGAAAAUAAAACCCUAAUUAAAUUAGGGGAAUCUAAGAAGUACUUGUCCAGUCACGUUUUAGCCUCAGAUCUCUUCCAAAUCCGGUCCAAGAUAGCUUGUUUUAAAGAUUAGGCCGUUCCGAACACAUCUCCAGAAGGCCAUGAAACCAUCCAAGGUCAUCUUGGGCUCCAAAAACCCAAUUUAAGCCCAGAAACUUCAUUUUCCAGCACCGCGCAUCGCUCAUUUAUUUUAUCGCCAGAUAAUAACCGCUUGGUGGAAAAAUGUCAAAUUUCGAUACGAUCAAGCUUAGUGACUCAAGAACGUCCUACAACUGGAAUUACUCCAAAAUUUCUUCAUUUGGUCAUGUUUUGCUCUAGAGGAAGUCGGAAGUCUUAUAUUGAAAAUACAAUUCAAAGUAUCAAAAUUCUUUCAAAAUAUUAACCAAAAUAUACUAAGAAUAGGGUAAAAUAUAUAAUAUAAAAUCUACUCAUCAAAAUACCCCCAAACUUAGCUUUUUGCUUGUCCUCAUGCAAAAUAAAACUAGAAAACAAAAAUAAAAACUAACAAACUAAAGACUUAACUAAAAUUAACUGACAAAAAUUUUCACCUUCAAAGUUGCAAUCCAUAGAACACGUUAAAAAUCAGAACGUCUUUUCAAAAGUUCCAACCAAUCCCACCACAAAGUCUAAAGCCAUUUAGAAUCAAUUAGAAAAGAAUUCACAAACUUCUUUCGGUGUAAAGUGAACCAACAUAGUUAAGGGGACUCGACUAAAACUCUUACCUCUUGUCCUUCUUUAUUUCACACAUACUAACUUUAUAUAUAACUAUUUUUCUUUUUCUUUUUCAAUUUUUUUUCAAUUUUUUUUCUCUUAUAUAACAUAUAUAUAUAUAUAUUGGUAACAGUAGUGGUCGUGCAAUGUCGGUUCACUUAAGCUUUCGAUCUAACCCAUGUAGUGAGCUUUAGGUCAAUGACUCCCAAACCACUAGGGCUUUAGGGCCCUAGGUCUAGAACACCCCUAAGGACUUAUUAACCCGAGCUGAAAUGGCUACGAAACCAACUAACCACCCUGUCCCAUGCCAAAACUCUACCGUUUGACUUGAGAAUCACUGCUGAUUAGGCAGGACUGGCCCAGUUACUAGGCAAAGUUUCGGGUGAGACAAUUAUUACUUUAUUCACAAUAAUAACUGACUUUACUUAAAACAAAAAUUAAAAAUAAACUUAGACUAAAAGCAAGUGUUUCAAUCUCACUCCCCAUAAACCAUAUUGGUGUGAAGUGCAAAGGCAAAGUAUAAUUCAUGAAUUAGUGUCUAAGCAACGAUAAAUAGAAAAAACUCUACUAUGGGAUUAAUCUUCACGAUGUCCAUUUGUUCUAACGUUUAAAAUAAUCUAUGGAUAUCAACUUAAAAAGAAUGAAAAUUCUUAACUGACACAAAAAAAAUUAAAAGCCUAAAAUUUACUUUCCCACCCCCAAACUUAAAUCACACAUUGUCCUCAAGGUGUGGAAACAAAAAGAAAAAUGAAAUGAACAAUAGAAUAAAACACAAAAACCCUAAUUGACAUGAAAAAGAAACGAUAAAACUAUAAGAAGAAAAUAAAUAAAAGAAAAUAUAAAACAAAACGAAAAUAAAGGAGAGAAAAACACCUGAGCUUUUAUGGGAAAGAUGAUGGCGUGACAAACUUUGGGCCUUGACAAACUACAUACGUGGCAACUGUUGGGUUUGAAACCCAACUUGCAAAACAAAGGUCCAAUAUGAACAUUGGAUUCCUGUGAGAUGGUUGAAUGGGAUGUAGCUGGCAUCCUAAUUUGAAAAUGGUGUUUGCAAGUUCCCAAGUCUGAAGAAGAAAAGUCGUUAUCAGUCCUCAGUCUUUGUCAGUCAUUCUACCCAGAGCCAACGACUCUUUACCUCGCCAUUUGAAAACCACCCUCCUCAGAAAGGCACAUAGCUCUUCCCAUGUUCAAAACUCUCAAACCCAGCCAUCAAUUCAAACCUCCCUUUCACAGCAGCUCAUUCGUUCUCUAUAAGCGCUGCAUCCGUAGCCUUCCAUAAUCCAGCAACAAACACACCUCCGUGAGUACCUAGCCGUGGUGGAAAAUCGGAAAAACUAAAACCCAAAGGUAAAAUCAUCCUCCAAUCUUUUGGUUUCAUUGUCAGAUUUAUUUGUUUUAGAGAAAUGGAACAAGAACUAACACAUGCACGUGGUUUUAUCGGUGUGAGGACCCCUCAUGGUUGCAAAUCCGAGCCGAUCUACUCCAUUCGCUUGUCUCUGCUGAAACCCGAAACCCUUCAGCUUCUACCAUGGAAAUAGGAAGGUAAGAUCCAUGCAUCUAUUUAACUUUACUCGAGCAGCUCAACACGGUUGUUUUUAUGUCUCAGAUACUCCAUGCUGCAUGUGUAAGUAUGUUUAUUUUGUUUGUGGGCACAGGUCCUCGAUCUAGAAGCUUAACAAUGACAAGGAAAAUGAAAACCAGCUACGACAUUGCAGAUCCUGGGCUUGCAGAGGUAAAACUGUUGUUCUCCACCAGUGAUGAAACCCCAUUUCUGAAAGUGCUUCAUCAUUACCCCCUGUAUGUGUCAUAACUCAUAAAGAUGUGUUGUUUUUAUUUUUAUUUUUACAGGGCACUUGGAUUCCUGACAUAUCCGAGAAAAAGGACAUGUUGACGGUGCGGAUCCACUGGACAAAAAGCACGGCACCUUGCAAAGGUCUUGAUCUGUCGAUAUGGAAGGUAUACACUCAUCCUUCCAAACUAAAUAAGUGACAUUUUUUUUCAUUUGUUGAAUGCAUCAAAAUUUUUGCUUCGGUACUGGAUUUGCAACAACCACCCCCAAACUUGCAUAUUUGAUUGAGCUUAUGUGAUUGCUUGAAAUUCCAGUAUAAUGUAGAUGUGGUUUAUGUGAAUGUAAACUUGCUGCUGGGUGCAUGAUUCCAGCAUAGGAUAAACUGUCUCUAUUUUCCCUUAGUUUCCAUGAGUGCACCCUACAAUUAACCAAUAUAAGCGAAUAUUAAAAACGGAGCUAAAAUCAACUGCGUAAAUAAAGAAAGCAAAAUAUUUUUGGAUUUUUCACGUUUUAAUUUUUUAAUUUUUUAAUUUUUAUAAUCUGUAUUUUUUUAUUAAAACUUAGGUAUGUAAAUCCAUCCAGAAAUUUAAGUAAUAAUAGAAAAAAAUCAAACGAAAAAUAAAAUAAGGAAAGAGUUUAGAAAAAUUGGGUUGCCUCCCAACAAGCGCUUUAUUUUAAGUCUGUAGCUAGACGUUGUAAAAGCGUGGUGGUCAAAUCACUGGUUCUUUCAAAGUCAAAGACUCCCUUGCACCAAAUUUCCCUAUGCAUGGUUUAAGUUGAUGUUUGGUAACCUUAAAUGGGAAAUCUUUGCCCUCAGCUGUGAUUUCUACAUUACCAUUUUGAAAAACUUUAGUAACUAGAAAAUGACCUUUCCUUGAGACUCUUGUCUCCCUGGAAUUAACUUAAAACUGGAAUUUAAUAGCCACACCUUUCUACUAGGUUGUAUUUUCUUAAAAUUUGGGCUGCCUGGCAAAUUGUCAUGUUUUUUCUUAAUGUUAAUCGGCUGGACAUUAUGUUGCACACUUUGCUGUUGCAAUUUAGGACUAAUGCAAUCACGAAUCAAAUUUGGAGGCUUUAUGGACAGAUGGUCAGUUGAUGAUCUGGUUAUAAAAUCAACACUAGGUAAACCAUCUAAUGCAUCAACACGCAUGCAUUCUUGCUUAUCACCUAAAUGUAUGCUUUCUUCAAACAACCUAAAAACAACUAUUUGAUCUUCGACCCGAAAUGUUAGUGUUCCGGCUUCAACAUCAAUAAGAGUCCGGGCUGUUGCUAGGAAUGGGCGGCCCAAGAUGAUGGGUGUUGUCAAAUCCUCAUCCAUGUCUAACACCAUAAAAUCAGCUGGUAAAUAUAAUUUGUCAACCUUCACAAUAACAUCUUCAAUGAUCCUUCUAGGAUAGGUAAUUGAACGGUCAGCCAAUUGAAUAAUGUUGGAGGUUGGCUUUAGCUCUCCUUCACCUAAACGUUUAAAAACAGAAUAAGACAUUAAGUUUACAUUAGCACGUAAUUCAAUUAAAGUACUACUAAAAUCACAAUUUCCAAUGGUGCAAGAGAUAGUAAAACUCCCUGGAUCUUUUUUCUUUAGGGGAAACUUAUGUAAUAAAACUGCGCUACAGUUCUUUAAGAAUCACUUUUUCAAAAUCAACGAGCUUCUUUUUCUUUGAGCAAACGUCCUUAAAAAACUUGGCAUAAUAUGGAAUGUUCUUGAUUGCAUCAGUUAAUGGAAGAUUAAUUUGAACUUUAGCCAAAGUCUUCAUAAAAUCUGUCAAUUGUUGAUCAUUAGCUUUACGCUUCAACCUUUCGAGAUAAGGCAUAGAAGGCACAUAAACACGUUCUGCAAUUUUUGUGGUAGCUUCUGCAAUAUUUUCGGAUUUAUCUAGUGGAAGCCCAAAAUCUGCAUAAAUUGCAGAUUUAGUUUGGGGCUGUUCUGCUGCCUGAGAAUUUCCAGCGCAAUUUUCAUGUCUAUUGUCAUAACUUUUGCUAGACUGUAAAGUUCGUACAGCAUUGCAUUCUUCUCGUCCUCUUGGAUUAGGUACUGUUUGACUAGGAAAUGUACUCGAUGCUCUUUCUGAAACCUGCAACGCAAUCUGCUCAAUUUGUUUUUCCUUAUUUUUCAUUGAUGCAUGCAGAUUUUGGAUUUCUUGACUGGUAGUAUUAGCUAAUUUUUCAAUUGCAAUUUCCCAAGUAGCCUUAGGUGCCUUAGGUUGCUGUAAUUGUUGUUGAAAUUGUGGCAUUGCAAGCUGAUCACUAUCCCACUUUAAAUUACAAUGAUCUCUCCUACCCGGGUUGUAGAAAUUUGAAUAUGGGUCAUAUCAGGGACGCUGAAAAUUACUGAAUGCAUUAACCAACCUGCUAAGCUGUAAACUCAGGAAAAACAUCUUUAUGUGGACAGGUCAUAAAAUCAUGAGUUGUCAUGCUUCAAAUGCUGCAGGCAGCUUGUAAGGGCUGCUGUACAACAACCUGUGAACCUGGAAUUCUUUGUAAUAACAUGUCAAAUUUUACAUCAAAUCUUUCAAGGUUUUUCUCCAUUUUUUCAAUUUGUGCCGACACAUAUGGUGAACCAUUAGACAUCUCAAAAACAGACUUAGAUUGUGGCUGCUUAACUGCCCAUUGCUGUGUAUCUGCUACCAUUUUUUCAAAUAAUAAACAAGCCUCUUGUGCAGUUUUAUCCUUGUACGAACCUCCGCAUGAAGCGUUGACAAGGGUUUUUAUUGUCAUAUUUAACCAUCUGAAAAAUAUAUGUAUCUGAUCAGUACUGUUAAUACCGGAAUGUGGACAUUUUCUAAUCAACUAUUUGAACCGCUCGCACGCCUCAUGAAACUCUUCAUUUGGUUUUUGGGCAAAAGAUAAAAUCUGAGUUCUCAUGUCAAGAGUCUUUGAAGCUGGAUAAUACUUGUUUAAAAAAAUUUCACUGAGUUGGGCCCAAGUUGUAAUGCUUCCAGAUGGGAGUGUGAGAAGCCAUCUUCGUGCUUGAUCUAUCAGAGUGUAUGGAAACAAACAAAGCUUAAUAAAUUUAGCUGAAAAUCCUCUCACCAAAAUAUUCUUGCAUCCCAUUAAAAAUUCUGCAAUAUGCAUGUUUGGAUCGUCAGUUGAUAACCCAUGAAAUGUAGGUAGAAUAUUCAACAUAUGUUGCUUUAUUUCGAAUGUUGAAUGUUCCUCCACUACUGGAUAAGUAAUGCAACUUGGCAUGUUAGUGGUAUGAGCUGUUAAAGAAUCACCCAAAGGCUGACCCGCCUCUGGAAUAACGAAUGCCAUUUUUUCUUUAUUAUGAAGAUCCCCAUAAAUUAAAGACUGCAGAAAAGUCCCUGCAGAGAAGGAACCCACUGCAAAUUUUUCUCCCUGCGUCUCCUUAAAGUUUGCUCAAGUAAGUUUGCUUGAGUUCUGGAUCAAAAGGAAACAAUUUCUGCACUGUACUGCUCUAAUCUGAGAAAAAUAAAAUAAAAACGAAAUUUUUUUUUAUAUGCAUAAACAACAAUAACCAACUGAAAAUCUAAUUAGAAGGAAUUAUUUUAAAUAAUCCUUGGCAACGGCGCCAUUUUCUUGAUAGGGAUUUUACUACACAUGUGAACGGGCUAAAAAACUCCUAUAAUACUUGCAAGAAUGACAAGGUUAUUGUAGUUUAAACGGAUCUUACAAGAUCGUUCUCCACAUGGAUUAUUAAAUAAUUCGAAACAAACCAAAUUCUAAUUAAUUAUUGUAGAGUAGAAAUUGAGAGGAUUGAUCUUAUAACCUAUUUAAAUUAAACACGAAUUUAAUUAAUAAAAGUAAAAUAAUCUGCAAUAUUAAAAUUAGAGGGAAAAGAAAACAGUUUUUGGGGAAAUCAAAUUACGAAAAUACUAGGGUUCCACCAUCAUCUAGCAAUCCUAUAAACUUCUACCAAUUAUUUAUGAUCUACAUAUGCCACUUUGAAGGUUAGAUUUUCUUAAUUCAUAUUCUACUUGGAACCUCCAACAUAGAACGUAUAUCUAACAUGCAACCCGUCCGGACGUUCAGAUCAAAUCUAAACAUGAAAGACUCAUUAUGUUUUAUGAUAACCCUUUGAAAAACCAUGCAAUCCUUAAGACAUGGUGUUCAUCUUAAGUGAAAUUACAAUUAUUAAUCACAAAAAGCCAGCAUCAAUUGCAGGGAACCUUCCGACCAAAAUUGCAUCAAAUUACUUUUCUAAAGAUCCUAAUAGUGAUCAGGCAUUAAGACAUUUAGAUAGUUUUAAUCACGUUAAUUAAUAAUUCAAAGUAUGCAUGCAAUCAAUCAUAAACAAUUAAAUAAAAAUCACAUAUUCAUGCUAAGGCUCAGGGAUUCGCACUAGCAAAAGAAAUUAGUUACGCAUAUUCAUAAUUAAAAUCAUAGAAAAUAUUAUUAAGAAAAGGAUUGAAAGCACCUUCAAGUAGAAAAUCUCUAAGAAUCCUAGCAAUUCUCUCUGUUUCCAAAAGUUGCAUAAAAGAAAGCGUAGCCCAUAAAACAAAGAACGGCAGAGCAAUAUAUUUGCUAAGCCAUCCACAAACCCUAAAACAUAGGUCUCUUAUUCCAAUUAGGAAACUAAGAAAAAUAAUAAAAUAUCUUAGAAAAUAAAACCCUAAUUAAACUAGGGGAAUCUACCAAGUACUUGUCCAGCCACGUUUUAGCCUCAGAUCUCCUUCAAAUCUGGCCCAAGAUAGCUUGUUUUAACGAUUAGGCCGUUCCAAACAUAUCUCCAGAAUGCCACGAAACCAUCCGAGGUCAGAUUGGGCUCCAAAAACGCAAUUUAAGCCCAGAAACGUCAUUUUUCAGCACUGCGCAUCGCUCAUUUAUUUUAUCGCCAGACAAUAACCGCUUGGUGGAAAAUUCCCAAAUUUUGAUAUGAUCAAGCUUAGUGACUCACGAACGUCCUACAACUAGAAUUACUCCAAAAUUCGUCCAUUGGUUCCUGUUUUGCUCUAGAUGAAGUCGAAAGUCCUAUAUUGAAAAUACAAUUCAAAGUAUCAAAAUUCUUUCAAAAUAUUAGCCAAAAUAUACUAAGAAUAUGGCAAAAUAUAUAAUAUAAAAUCUACUCAUCAGUUUCAAGUUUUCAAUAAUGAAAAGUCUUUACGAAACAACCUUAACAGCAUGCUUACAGCAUCUCUUAUGAAAGGAAGUUGAUUUUCACACGUUUUACACUUCUUCUUUUUUCGAUCAUCGAAUUAAAUAAAUCAAAUAAAACAACAAACACAAUUAAAUAAAAGUGCGUAGAGGAGAAAAAAGGGUCCCUUACGAAAGUACAAAAGCUAUGCCAUAACUAUUCUAUUUCACUUCAAUCAAUUUCCAUGUAUAGAAAAAAAAAUUAUGCAAUUGUUGAAUUAAAGGGUAGUUAGAUCCAGGUUCAAAAAUCCAAGCUAGUUUUUAAAUUGAACUUUAUAUCAUAAGAAGCUUACAAACUAUACAUCUGUUAUAUACGCAUAAUAUCCGCGCAAAAUAUAUAUAUAUAUAUAUAUGAUCGAGGUAUAUUAAAUAAAUAAAGAGAUUGUUAAGUAAAAAGAUUGAAUGCAACGUGGUUGAAGGGGAUUUAUUUCUUAUGAUUUUAGAUAUUACAAUUAUUUGAAACUUUCAAUUUUAUCACAAACUUAAUAAAAAGAUAAUAGUCAGUGGACGGAUGAGGAUCUCUCCGGAUUCUUUUUAUGAGGACUCUAGGGAUUCUCACAUCAUGGUCGUUCAUCGUACAUCGUGUGGUCAGUUUUCAUUAGGUACUAUUCGUUGCAUGCAAAUUAUGCAUCACAAAGCUCCACGUGGCAUAUGACUCAUCACAAAUAGACAAGUCAUCAAUGACAUGUGGCACAAAACAAGCAAAGGAAGCUCAAAACAAGCAAAGGAAGCUCAAAACUUCCCCAAAAUUCGGCCAAAAGGGGAAAAUACCCCUUAAAAUCAUCAAAUGGUCCAAAUUGCUCUCGAAACCGGAAAAAAAGCUAAAGCAUCUUCACAAAACAAGCAGAAUUAAAGAUUGCUCACAAAAUAAGCAAGAAAGCCCCAUAAUUCGGCCAAGCAAGGGAAAGUGGCUGAAACAAGACACAAAUCAAAACCAAAUCCACCCAAAGGCAUGACUUUGGAAGUCUAUAAAUACAAGGUCCCAGGACAAACAAAGGGUGGACGAUUUCUACAUUGAAGGGCCGAAAUUCUCACAAAAUAAGAACCUCUGCCAAAUCUUUGAAGACUAAUAUGCUGCCAAAGCUCUCUUCAAAGAACAUACAACUAAAGUCGAAGCACUCUCUUGAAAAAUUAUCAAGCACUUGUGCUGAUUCCUUCAAGACUUUGUUGCAAGCUCAAAACUUGUAACGACGUUUAAUUCAAGAUCAAGUCGUCAAGACCCUUGAAUAAAUUCAAGGAUCAUAAUCGUUCAAUUUAUCAAUUUUUACUUAAAGAUCACUCAAAAAAUAUCAUUUGAAUUGGAGAUUGUUUCAUCAUCCCAACACAUCAAAAUAAAUGCAGUUCAUCAUAAAUAUAUUACUCGGUACCUAUAGCAUCGUCGAUUUGUUUUAUACAUUUGAAUGAUUAAAUGAUUUUUUAUUGAAAUGACUUUUUAUGGGGGUGAUACACGUUAUUCGCAAGGGAAAAACUAGUUUAUCCCUCCAAGAGGAGGAGUGCAAGUAUUACCCAUAUUUUUUUAAGCCACAAAUUGGUAAAAAAGUAAGCAAACUGAAAAGAACACCUCAACAAAACUAUAUAAUUUUCGCUCAAUGUCAAAAUGGUCGAUGAGUUAUAGUCAUUUGGCCAAUUUAGGCUUUGUGUAUUUAAUUUGGCAUUUAGUCUUCGUGUUGAUCUUCGCUAACCAAUUAAGGACAUUACAUCCAAUUUAUGUUAAAAAUUCAUAAAAAUAUUAUAACCCAUUAUAGAAAGAUAUUUUUCAAUUAAGAUAAAAAAAAUUUAAUUUCAAAAUGAAAAGAAAAUAUAUUAAAACAAACCCACCCUGCCAUCUGUCCUGUCCUUAACCCAAAUCCCAACCUUAACCACCAGGCAACUCGACGAACGUGUCUCUAGAUCCACCUGUCAUUGCACGAGUUCCAUCAUCGUAGUCCUAAAAAAUUUAAUCAUAACCACCUCAUCUUCAACUAUGUACUUAAAAAGCAGACUGCAAUUGAGAGAGCCAUAUACUACCAUUUAUCUUUAUUUUAAAUUUAAGUUACAAAAAAAUGCAUAUCAAUAAGAAAUAACACAUAUAAGAGAUAAUACUUCAAAUCUAAAAAGCUAUUAAGGUUGUGACACAGAAAAGAGGGAGGCAAGAAAAUUGGGAGAGGAUAGAACGUUAGACAAGAGGUCGGGAAGUUGGGACGAGAGUAAUUUUUCUUUUGAUUUUUAUUUUAUUUUAAAUCAAAUAGAUAAUUUUAUAAACAACUUUAUAAUAGUUUAUGAAAAUUUUAAGAAUGAUUGGAUGAAAUGUCCUUAAUUGGCUAAUAAAGAUAAAUACGAAUAUUAAAUUGGCCAAAUUAAAAACAGAGUGACUAUACUGACCUAAUUGCUAAAACACAUAAACUAUUUUGACAUUUAAACCUAUUUUUUUUUUAUAUAUAUAUAAAACCAUCUGAGAAAUUUAGCCAAAAAAAUCAUUAUAUGUCCACGUUGCCAUGCGCUAUUUUAUUUUUAAAGGAAAACUAAUGAAAAGGGCUUGAAAACUUUGAGUUUUAAUGAUAAGGACAAAAUAAAGGGUAAAGUGAAUAGUACCAGGAUUGACUUUUUAGUGUAAAAAUGUGGUUUUUCGUUAAAGUGAACAGUACCGGGUGCUUUUCGUUAAAGUUCCCUAUUUUUAAUUGUGAAAUUCCUUUUGGUUUCGUUGCAAAGUAAUUUGUUUUUUUUCCAAAAGUGUUGAGUUUGAAAUGGUGCUUUCCUCGAGUCAUAAUCUUAUCUUUUGAAAUAGUAUUCUCCUCUAGUGCCAAUGUUAUCAACAGUUCACUUGUAAAACCCUUUUUUCUUAUAGGGAAUUUAAUAAAAAUAGCCUAACAAAACAAGGUCUUAAUAAAAACACUCAAUGAACAUUUUUUUGUAUAUACGAUAUUAUCUAUACUAAAAAUAUAGAAAUUAAACUAUUACCAAUAUCGUAUUGCCUCAAUUUUUUUUAUCAAACAUGUGGGAAAAAAGCUUGGGUGUUUUUGUAUUUGGUAAACAAAAGACCAACCUGUGUUUUUGAAAAGUAUUGGUCAUUGAAGCUGCUUCCGCAGCCUUAAAUGGCAGGGUUAGUCCUUUCACCGGUCCUAGGCUCCUAGCCAUCUACGACUUUACUCAACUAAAUUUUCUUAUAAAAAAAUAUAUUUCAAGAAACUAUCAAAAUAUGUGAUCACAAAAUAGGACAAACAAUAGUGCUACCCAUGUUUUUCUUAGCUGCAACUCGUUCCUGUUGAAUUUCCAAUCUUUUCCGCCGUUCAAUCUUGAAUCUUGUCCAAUGGGCCGUUCAAUCUUUGAAAUCAUAAUUUGGAAGGGAAAUACUUGCAUCCACUUGUAUAUUUUCUUAAUUAUUAUUUUUAAGAUCAUUUUUACAAAAUAAUUAAUUAAAUUCGAGAUCCUUAGUUAUUCACAUGCAUUUAAGAAAUAGACUAUCUUGAUAUUAACCAACAUUUCAUUAUAAAUCGUCCAUUUAUUAAUUAUAUAUGGAUGACAAAUUGAUAUUUGGUUUAAUUGAUUUUUUUUUUUUGAACAAAUGAUAUCAUUUACAGAUGUAGAUUUAGCCCCACAAUAAGCUAUCAAUAAUAUAAUUCAAAAUCAUUUUUGGCAAAAAUCAAAGCUAAGAUCUCUCACUUAUAAAUGAAGAAAAAUACUAAUAGAUUGUAGUAACAUUCAAUUGACUUUUUACCAUAAUAAUUUUGAAACAAUGGUUAAUAAGUCAACGAUUUUAAAUACGAUACUGGCAAAAAUGGGUAAGUCCAAGAAAAUAAAAUAAUUGCAAAAAUGGACAGGUCCAAGACUGCACGUAUACAGUUAAUGAUAUUUUAUAUCUAACUGGUUUGACCUUUCCACUCCUCCACGGUUAUAAAAUCAAGCAUCAGUUAGCAUUCAUAAUACUCAAAGAAACAAAUUGAGAGCUGGUCGAAGUCUGAAACAGCUAAAACCUCCCUGAAAAUUCCCAAAGAGCAAUAUGGCACUUUGGAUUUGGGCAACAAUUGGGGUGCUUGCACUUGUUCACGUCCUGCAGACAUGGAUAUCAAAAGGCAAGAACAAGAACAAGAAGCUACCUCCUGGUCCGAGAGGGUUUCCUAUCUUUGGCAGCCUCCACUUGUUAGGGAAGGUCCCUAACAGGAAUCUUUAUCAACUAGCCCAGAAAUACGGCGACAUCAUGUACAUGCGGUUAGGCCUCCACCAUAACAUUGUUAUCUCGUCCCCACGAGCGGCCGAGCUGUUCCUCAAAACACACGACCUUACUUUUGCAAGUAGACCACCUCAUGAAGGUGCAAAGCACGUCAUCUUUGGGCAAACGAACAUGAGCUUUGCUGAGUAUGGCCCGUAUUGGCGCGAUAUGCGAAAGAUGUGCAUGCUCGAAUUACUUAGCAACCACAAGAUCAACUCUUUCAAGGCCAUGAGGAGAGAAGAGGUUUCUCUUCUGAUUCAAUCUGUUCAAAAGGACGCCAAUAAUCGACGGGUUCCUAUCAAUCUCAGUGGCAAGAUCGCAUCGCUCGGCGUUGACCUGACCUGUCGGCUGGUGUUUGGGAAGAAGUACAAGGACGUGGAGUUUGACGAAAGGGGAUUCACAGCGGUGAUGAAAGAGGCUAUCCAAUUAGUAGCAGCACCUAAUUUGAAUGAUCACAUUCCUUUUCUUGCGCCACUUGACCUGCAAGGGCUCACUAAAAAAAUGAAGGCUAUCAACAAGGCGUUUGAUGCUUUUUUUGAGAACAUAAUCGACGACCAUCUUCAAUCCAAGGAUGAAGAAAGAACAAAGG
rnacentral:lncRNA from 1 species